UUCAGUGAAUGAGGGAGUGAGGAUGGCUGAUGCUACACUGUCCAGAGCUUUCCCCAAAUUCAGUCACUGCCCCUGUGUUUGUUUGUCAGAAAUUAAGGCAAUGAAUAUUUUUGAGUGACUACAUAACUGAGAAGAUGACUGGUCUCUAAUCUGCAUUAAAGCUGCCAACGAAUUGAUUCUGCAGUGGGCGCCCUGCUUCUCCACUCAUAGUCCAGCAAGGGAAUCGGGACAGGAUGAAGGUCUGCACAGGUCACUAAAGACUCCGUGGGACACAUGUGGCAAAUAUAAAGUUUCCACCCAGCUCGAAUUGAUCCGGCAGGCAUGACAAAGACUGCGUAUCUCACCAUAACCAUGAACCCUCGGACCCCAAGAGGGCAGGAACCAAGCUCAUCAAGCCAGCCUCAAAUGAGUGGUCUCAAGAGGGAAGAGAAAGGCAGGUCACUAAUAAUGAGCGGCCAUUCAGAGCCUCACCUGCCUUCAACACCAGCUACGAGGGAAGAGGAAAUGUGUAGGAAUUUUCUUUCUUAGAGUGCGUACUCAGCCUGUUUGAUUAUUAAUUUCAUUCUUCACA